AGAGUUUGAUCCUGGCUCAGGACGAACGUUGGCGGUGCGCUUAAUGCAUGCAAGUCGAGGGAGAAGCAGACGUUCCGUAAGGUUCGACUGUGGAAACCGGCGAACGGGUGCGUAACACGUGAGAAACCUGCCCCCCAGAUCGGGAUAGCCCAGGGAAACUUGGAUUAAUACCGGAUACUCUCUUUGGAUCGCAUGAUCCGUUGAGGAAACAGUCCGCUGCUGGGGGAUGGUCUCGCGGCCUAUCAGCUUGUUGGUGAGGUAACGGCUCACCAAGGCUAAGACGGGUAGCUGGUCUGAGAGGACGAUCAGCCACACUGGAACUGAGACACGGUCCAGACUCCUACGGGAGGCAGCAGCAGGGAAUAUUGCACAAUGGGCGAAAGCCUGAUGCAGCGACACCGCGUGCGGGAUGACGGCCUUAGGGUUGUAAACCGCUUUCGGGAGGGAAGAAGAUGACGUACCUCCUAAAGAAGCUCCGCCAACU
rnacentral:rRNA from 1 species